UCCCACUCCCUCUGCACUGGGCUGGCGAGUCUCCAACGGCCACUGAAGUUUCACUGUCUGCUGAAACACAGCAUGCUCGCAUAAGGCUAGGGAUGGCUGAAUUAUGAGGGGAAUUCCAACUCAUGUAGCCCUUCAGUUUGUGUUACUAGUCACAUUUUUGUCAACUCACCAAAUCUAUUAAACAUGUAGCUCUUUUAUGUCUUAAAAUGCAUAUUAAUAUAACACAACAUGCUCAUCUCCUUAUGGCACUUUGCACUUUCCUGCAGUGGCCUGGAUUUUCUCUCACUGUUGUUAAAAAGGGGCAGAAGCUAAAACAGAAUGAUAAGUGGAAGCCCUAAAGGGCUGUACCAUUUACAGAACACCACACAGGCAUGUGUUCAUAAUCUGUUGUGGCUAACGUUAAAUAGUGUGAAUAGUGUGAAUUUGUUUUGCUGCAUCCCUUCAUGUUUAAAGAAAUACUGAUGCAUGAUCUUGGCUUAACACGCGUGAAUUGCUGCUUGGUCUGCUCCCCUGCUGUGCGUAUCUCUGAAAUUUCUUACAGCUUUCUGUUGACAGUGUUGACUGUUGACAGUGCAACACAAAAGGCACUAUUAUUUGGCUACAGCAAAGCCUCUGCUGCUUUUUUUGUUUGUUUUUGUUUGUUUGUUUGUUUGUUUGUUUUCCCAGGGGAUCUGCAAUGUAUGACAUAUGUCUAUUGCAGAUGUAUCAGUUUCCUUCCUGUGAUUGCAUGGUCAUCGGGCUUAAAGCCAAGUGCCACCUUUCCUAAGGUUUCUAUGUCUAGACCUUUUUUUCAACUUCAGAUUUACUUAUCCUGCUUUUUAGCUGUAUGUUCUCGACAGGUCUUCAUUAUGCAGUUCAGUCCACGUGCAUUCUUCAGAUCUCCAGCCUGUGACAGAAGCAGUCAGAACUGUCCCGCAGCAUUUCCUCUGGAAUCGGAGCCUCUCCUGCAGCCCUGGGAGCUCUCAACCGUUGCCUUCCUCGCACAGCCACAGCUCUGCCGCUGCCUGUUGAGAGCCUGACUGCAGCCGCCUGCAGCACCAGCUGGAAGAAGGCAAUCCUGCGUGUGGGGAGCUCCGCCCGGGGACAAACGUCUCCACGGAGUGAAGGCUUUGCAGUCUUCCUGUAAAUCUUCUAUCCAGGAAAACAGUUGGAUUUCCAUGUGUAGCUGCAGAAUCCUGCCAUGUUAAAAUAGAUUUCUGUUGCCAUCUGGUGGAUAACUGAAGAGGACCUGGAAAACUAGAAUAAAUAUCUAGAUU
rnacentral:lncRNA from 7 species